rfam:Pteropus alecto contig102455, whole genome shotgun sequence.
CUGCAUUGGGGACAAACAGAAUAAAGACUUCAUGUUC